rnacentral:rRNA from 1 species
UACGUAGGGGGCUAGCGUUGUCCGGAAUCAUUGGGCGUAAAGCGCGUGUAGGCGGUCCGGUAAGUCCGCUGUGAAAGUCGGGGGCUCAACCCGUCGGAUGCCGGUGGAUACUGUCGAGCUUGAGUACGGAAGAGGCGAGUGGAAUUCCUGGUGUAGCGGUGAAAUGCGCAGAUAUCAGGAGGAACACCAAUUGCGAAGGCAGCUCGCUGGGACGUUACUGACGCUGGAGACGCGAAAGCGUGGGGAGCAAACAGG